GAAAACAAUUAUACACAUUAAAAUAGAUCCCAUCUGAUAUUGAAAGAUAAGGAAGGUUAGGCCAGAUUAGUGCUUAGAUGGGAGACCACCAAUGAACACCAGAUGUUAUAAGUU
rnacentral:rRNA from 1 species